AUUGAACGCUGGCGGCAGGCCUAACACAUGCAAGUCGAACGAGUGGCGGACGGGUGAGUAAUGUAUGGGAAACUGCCCGAUGGAGGGGGAUAACUACUGGAAACGGUAGCUAAUACCGCAUACUAUCGGAUGUGCCCAGAUGGGAUUAGCUAGUAGGUGGGGUAAAGGCUCACCUAGGCGACGAUCCCUAGCUGGUCUGAGAGGAUGAUCAGCCACACUGGGACUGAGACACGGUCCAGACUCCUACGGGAGGCAGCAGUGGGGAAGAUUGCACAAUGGGCGCAAGCCUGAUGCAGCCAUGCCGCGUGUAGGAAGAAGGCCUUCGGGUUGUAAAGUACUUUCAGCGGGGAGGCGUUACUCGCAGAAGAAGCACCGGCUAACUCCGUGCCAGCAGCCGCGGUAAUAC
rnacentral:rRNA from 1 species